GAUGAAGAACGCAGCGAAAUGUGAUAAGUAAUGUGAAUUGCAGAAUUCAGUGAAUCAUCGAAUCUUUGAACGCACAUUGCGCCCGCCAGUAUUCUGGCGGGCAUGCCUGUUCGAGCGUCAUUUCAACCAUCAAGCCCCCGGCUUGUGUUGGGGACCUGCGGCUGCCGCAGGCCCUGAAAAGCAGUGGCGGGCUCGCUGUCACACCGAGCGUAGUAGCAUACAUCUCGCUCUGGGCGUGCUGCGGGUUCCGGCCGUUAAACCACCUUCAUAACCCAAGGUUGACCUCGGAUCAGGUAGGAAGACCCGCUGAACUUAAGCAUAUCAAUAAGCGGAGGA
rnacentral:misc_RNA from 1 species